AUUUAUAAUUUUCUUACAGUAUCGAUACGUAGAUCAAGCCAAGAGAGACAUCUGCAAUGCUCUACAGUUAUACAAAAGUCUAUAUCCGAAACGACAGCAAUUUGUGUUUAAUGAUGGUUCGAGCAAGGAAUUAGUGUGUCUUGAUGGUACGAUACCUGUUCCAUUUAAAGGU